AUUGAACGCUAGCGGCAGGCCUAACACAUGCAAGUCGAACGAGUGGCGGACGGGUGAGUAAUGUAUCGGAACGUGCCUGGUAGCGGGGGAUAACUACUGGAAACGGUAGCUAAUACCGCAUACUAUUGGAUCUGCCCAUAUGGGAUUAGCUAGUUGGUGGGGUAAAGGCUCACCAAGGCGACGAUCCGUAGCUGGUUUGAGAGGAUGACCAGCCAAACUGGAACUGAGACACGGCCCAGACUCCUACGGGAGGCAGCAGUGGGGAAUAUUGGACAAUGGGGGAAAGCCUGAUCCAGCCAUCCCGCGUGUAUGAUGAAGGCCUUCGGGUUGUAAAGUACUUUCAGCAGAGAGGCGUUAUCUGCAGAAGAAGCACCGGCUAACUACGUGCCAGCAGCCGCGGUAAUAC
rnacentral:rRNA from 1 species